GCGCUGGGUGGAGCGCAUGCGUACAGCUGCCGGCAGGGUCCCCUGGGGAAUUCGUUUCCACAGCAACAGUUUCCCGGGAGGCGCGGGUUCUUUCUCCUUCCGGCGAGCUCGGCCCGGAAGCGCACUAUCAGGCCUGCGGGCUUGCGGGCGCCUCGUCUUUUGCCGGUUGCAGCAGGGACGUGGUCGCUGCCGGCCGGGCUCAGAGGCGCCCGCCAUGGAGGGCCAGCGGGUGGAGGUGGACGGUGGGAUCAUGGAAGGGGGCGGCCAGAUCCUCAGGGUCUCCACCGCCCUGAGCUGCCUCCUGGGCCUACCCUUGCGCGUGCAGAAGAUCCGCGCGGGCCGCAGCACGCCGGGCCUCAGGCCUCAGCAUUUAUCUGGACUGGAAAUGGUUCGUGAUUUGUGUGGCGGGCACCUGGAGGGAGCAGAAAUCGGCUCAACAGAGAUAACCUUUACCCCCGAGAAGAUCAGAGGUGGAGUCCACACGGCAGAUACCAAGACAGCAGGGAGUGUGUGCCUCUUGAUGCAGGUUUCAAUGCCCUGUGUCCUGUUUGCGGCUUCCCCGUCGGAGCUCCGUCUGAAAGGCGGCACCAAUGCGGAGAUGGCCCCGCAGAUCGAUUACACCAUGAUGGUUUUCAAGCCAAUUGCUGAGAAGUUUGGUUUCACAUUUAAUUGUGACAUUAAAACGAGGGGCUAUUACCCCAAAGGGGGUGGUGAAGUGAUUGUCCGAGUGUCCCCAGUUAAACGAUUGGACCCAAUAAAUCUGACUGAUCGAGGCUCUGUGACCAAGAUUUAUGGGAGAGCUUUUGUUGCCGGUGUUUUGCCACUAAAAGUAGCAAAAGAUAUGGCGGCGGCGGCUGUGCGGUGCAUCCGGAAGGAGAUCCGGGAUCUGUACGUCAGCAUCCAGCCCGUGCAGGAGGCCAGGGACCAAGCCUUCGGCAAUGGGAGUGGAAUCAUGUGAGCACACACGGAGAAAUAGUUGAGACCCUGACGACACUGUCCUCAUCAAAGAGUUGUGUGCAUUCGCUCGGCUUAGGGUUCUGCAGUCAUUGUUGCUGAGACAUCCACUGGCUGCUUGUUUGCUGGAUCAUCACUUGGCAAAAGAGGUGUGAAUGCAGACAAGGUUGGGAUUGAAGCUGCUGAAAUGCUAUUAGCGAACCUUAGACACGGUGGCACUGUGGAUGAGUAUCUACAAGACCAGCUGAUUAUUUUCAUGGCGCUAGCCAAUGGAAUUUCCAGAAUAAAAACAGGAUCAGUCACACUCCACACGCAGACUGCUAUACAUUUUGCUGAACAGCUAGCAAAGGCCAAAUUUACCGUGAAGAAAUCAGAAGAGGAAGAAGAUGCCACUAAGGACACUUACGUCAUCGAGUGUGAAGGAAUUGGGAUGGCAAAUCCACACCUCUAGGGUGUUCACGUACGCUCUACCUCCUUGUUGCACUGACUUAGCCCAUGCAUGCUGCAACACAGUGAGUGAGACGUCAGCUACCACAGGACUUGAGUCUUUGGAGAUGGAGGUUGGCACUGUCAGUUGCUGAGAAUGCUCCAUCAUGUUAAGCUCGUGGGAUAUCUCCCCAGAUAUAGACAGUGAACGAUCAAACGUAAUGAAUAUGUGUAAUAGUCAACUUCAAUAUUAACAUCAUACCCUAACGUUAUAAAUAAAUUGUUGUUCAUACCCUAAA